UGUGGUGUGUGUGUGUGUGUGUGUGUGUGUGUUUGUGUGUGUGUGUGUAAUGCUGCAUGUAUUUGGGGCGUGUAUUUGAGAUUCAUUUGGAAAACAAGUCAACAUUUGGGAUGUUUCAUUCCAUACUAAACAUGCAGAACACAGAACAUUGAACACAGAUACUGAACAGUUAGUUUUAUCCAAAUGCAGGUUCUCAUAUUUUUUUGUCUUAUUUUCAGUUUUUUUUUUCCUUUAUA